CCUGGUUGCAACUGGGAUCGUUCAUAUCUCUAUCUUGUGUGGAGGGACUGCUGCAAAAAAUCAGAGGUAGCCAAGUCUCACCCUGAGACACUCUCAGUGUCUGCUCGCUCCCUGCUGCUGCUUUACAAAUAUCUCUCUUCUCUCUUGGAAACAGAUAAGUAACCAGACAACCCAGCAGCUCAGAUGUGAGGGCCUGAGCUCUUGGUCAGGAGCCGUGUGUGGCAGAGGAGGAAAAACGUGCAGCUCAUUCAUGGGGAUGCUGCGUGGAGCUGCCCUGGAAGAGCCUGUGGGUGUUUGCUGAAUGCUUCGUAAUUAAGCUGAUUCUGGGCAUGCUGAUUAUAAUUUCAGUGAGAUGUGGAACAUCCUGCAAAUACUUGCAUAAACAUCUGAUUCCCAGGACACACGCGAGCAGGGAUCCUUGCUGUGCCAAGUACUGCAGACUGCAUGGGGCAUCCAUAAUCCAGC
rnacentral:lncRNA from 1 species